GUCUGUUAAAAUCAUGCAAUGGGUGGAGCUAUAGUUAGUGUGGUAGGGGUGUCAACUACCCCUGUCCAGUACAUUCACGACACGUCUGCUAAAAUCAUGCAAUGGGCGGAGCUAUAGUUAGUGUGGCAGGGGUGUCAACUACCACUGUCCAGUACAUUCUCCAAACUU